CCUUGUACACACCGCCCGUCACACCAUGGGAGUGGGUUGCACCAGAAGUAGCUAGUCUAACCUUCGGGAGGACGGUUACCACGGUGUGAUUCACGACUGGGGUG
rnacentral:rRNA from 1 species